CCAGGGAUGGAACCACAUCCUUGUGGAUACUAGUCAGGCUCGUUAACUGCUGAGCCAUGAAGGGAACUCCCUAUUUCUUCACUUUUGAAGGCAGGGAAAGAUCAUCUAGUCUUAAGCUCAGGAAGGUGUUUAUUGGCAUCAUAUUAACCCUUUAGUGACAUAUAGUUCACUAAUAUCUUUAUAAUUGAGGAUAAGGCCUUGUGAAAAAUCAUACUCCCUUGCAGAUGUCUCAUUGUAUGUCUCUCAAGCAGAGAAAUUUGAAUGUUCAAUAUGCCAGGCUGUAUGCUUUCUUUUCUGUUAUUACAUUAUACUUCAGAUCCAUAUUUUUGUCUGGCUUGCUUAAAGACAUUUACAAAUUUAUUGCAUUCAUCUUUUUCUUUUUCAUCCAAGGCAGCAUCCUCAAGAGGAACAGGAACAGAAUAGUAAAUCCUAGAAACAGAGGAAUCCUAGGCUAGCAUCCUAGCUCUACCGCUUAUGACUGGGUAUCAUCUAACUAGCCACAUAACUCUUUAAGCCUCAGACUUCCUUCUUGUAUAGGAAAAAAGACUUGUCUAGAUAUUAUGAUAACUUCCAGUUCUAAAAUAUUUUGUAAGAGAGAAAUCUUACUUUGUUAAAGACAAUAUGAAGUGUAACAGUAAAAGUCAAACAGUCAAGAACAUCUGCAAUCAGGGUAGGUAGCAGGCUGUGCCCAUGUGUUCUAAAAGCCUAGUCCUGACACCAGAGUUUUACACUGCAACAGCAUAAUCAUUCCUACCAGCAUGUUCCAUUAAAGCUUGACUUACUGCCAGGGAAUUCACCUGCUGACACAGUAAAACUCCUAACUGGAAGCAUUAACAUUGCAAUGUCAGAUGGGGAAAAAAAAAAUGUUCAUAAAUUCCACGAACGUGCACUGCUUUACUUGAGGUCCUGGUUGCAAACUCAUUAUUUAUGCUGUGUACAGUAGGCCAUCAACAGAUCCCACUGGGAAAUUAGUUUGCAAUUUAGAAUCGUUUCAAAGUACAAGUGAUUCUCAAGUCAUUUUCCGAGGUUAAAUGAGAACUCUUAUUGCUUUCCGUGGGCUCAGAGGGAAUUUUUACUCUGUGUGUUCCCUCCUCCCCCAGCUCCUGCUACACUGUCUUGAUUUUUCUUUCUUAAAUGCGCUUUGGUGCUAAAUCUCUCUUUUUCAAUUUUUGAAAGCUGGUAAAUGGAAUGGUAUUUGUUGCAUUUUCUUGCUUGCUGGGAACUCCUUAAGCACCUCACUUUUGAUUACUGCUUUUAUUCUUUGAAGACUCCUGAGAGGUUUCCCUGUGCUCUACCAACUACAUUGCUUAGCUAACAGAGGAGUGAUUUGGAAAGAUUGGCUGGCAUCCGCUUUAGGAUGCAGUGAAUCAGAGUCAUCAUCCCACUUCCCUUCCAGCUUCUCACUCUGGGGGGCCGUGCCAUGGGACAGGGCUCCAGGCGGGCAGACUAAGGGCACAAGGAAUGAGUCUUACAACUGCAGAAGAUGUGAACGGGAGGUUCAGUCUUGCUUAUGGGCUCAUGAGCCCACAGUAUAGAACAAACUGUUGAGAUAAAAAGUGUCCCACUGAUCCUUUCCGCCUUCACACACCCCUUGAUUCAAUUCAGAACAUCCUUAAGCAUAUUUUUAAGCUUUAUUUUACUGGUAAUUGUGUGUAUAUCUUCUCAAUCUUACCCCCAACCUAGGAGAACUGACCUUAAACCAUCUGGUAGAUAAUUUGUAACCUGAUAUUACCCUUGGAGAAUAAAGAGCAUUAUUUUAGUGUACCAUUGUACCCUUGAUCAUUCCCAGAAAGGAGCAAAUAAUCCAUAGUGUUAAGGUCUUUGAGGAAUUUUUUUUCUUUUCCUCCUUUCUCAAUAAGUUGCUGAAAUGCCAAAGCUGGUAUUAUUAGCUAUAAUGAAUAAACAUCAAAUAGAAAAUAAAUCAUUAAAUGACUCCCCUUCUCUGAUGAGAAACACUAGGGUUCAUUUGAAACCAAGAUUUCAACAUCUCUCUAAUGCAUUGGGAGAGUGUUUCCAUAGGCUCAGACCAGAAAGUAUACAAACCAAAGAGAUUGAGUGUUUAGUUUCAAAAUACAUGAAAUCACUAGUUUAAACAUAGAAACUACACACAAAGAGUGCAAAGACACAAUGAAAGCUGGAGAUCAACAGGGUAAAUAUCACCUAGAAAUACUAACAGUCUUAAAGGUCAGAAAUCCUUAGUUAAACAAAAAGACCCAUCCAUUAAAAACAAUCAAUUACAAGAUAACCUGAGAAUACCACACUAUGCAUUCCCUUUAAAAGCAGAUGUUGUUCUGCUAAGAGCUAUUAGCUAUGUGCUUUAGAGGUAAAUAGAUAGAGCAGGUAACAAACAGAGACUAAAACCCAAAGGAAAAGAAACCAAAAAUUAAGUGCAUUUGGAACUGCUUGAUAUUGAAUUUCUCAGGCACAGGGAAAAGGCUUUUGUCUCAUGGACAUCCAUCGCUACCUGUCAGCGCCUAGCUCUUUGGUAAUGCACAGAAAAAAACUUCACUAGUUACAAUAUUCUGAGUUAGUCUUUUUGGGUUGAAAUUGGCUUAAAACGUUUUCCUUGAUUAUAGAUAAUUCUUUUUUCUACUAAUAUUUGAAUGUCAACAUGCUUCAAAAAUGAUCCUCCUUUCCUUCAAGAUUUGGAAGAGGUGGGUGUUGAUUUGGUUUUCUAGUACUUUCUAUAGUUUUUUCUUUCUACGUGUAAUAUAUGUCUUAUAACUUGUGAACAUCUCAUAUAUUCAAUGCAUCUUUGUCUUUGUUUGGUAAAAUAAUAGGUUAGAUAAGGAUGAUACUUGGCAUAUAGAAACUUAACAUCUUUUAAUGUAUGAGAACACUUGAGUGGAUGGUAUUUAUAGAUAUUUCUCAUGUCCCUGAGAACUCUCUUUUCCAGACUUUCAUAUUGCCAUUUGUUCUUUUAGACAGCAUACUAAUUAUUUGUCACUAAAUCCCCAAAUCUUCUCAUAUGUAUAGAGAUGGGCUGAACUGGUGAAAACGUCUCAACUCUCAAGGACAGUGUCUUAUCAUUAAGGCAAUUUCAGAGAUUCUUAGAUUUUUUUUUUUAACAUUUCAUAAGUAGUUAAAAACAAUUUUCUACAAUGCGGCAAAAAAAAAGCAGUAGGAUAUGAUCUUGUGUCUUUUCCAUUUCCAUAAAUAUUGUUUGAACAAGAGAAGAACUAGUCAUAUUCCACUUUCCGCUUCUCAAAGUUGUAGCCUACUUUGACUUUGUCAUAGAGCCUUCUAUGACAAACUACAAAAAAGGGAUUACUAUAUCUUUAUUAGUAGAAAGAUACAUUAAUAUAUCUUUCUUUCCUCUCUCCCUAAAAUGUUAAGCUUCAUUCAAAAGUCUUAUUUUAAACCACAUGACAUAGGACGCUUCUUCUACCUAACUUAGGAUCUGAAUGAUACUAUAACUGCAUCCUUGAAAAUAAUCCGAGGCAAAAUCCAUGGUAAAUCCAUGUUUUCUAGAUCACUAAAACAUAGCAUCGAUGCUGUGCUUUCAGGUGAACUUCUACAAAAUGCAAGCAUAUUAUUGAAAUCAACAAAACCCCAAUGAUUGCAGGGCAGAAAGAGGACUCAUUAGCAUAUGCUCAUGUUGACAAGUUGAAUGAGGGGCUGAAGAUGCUGAAGAAAGUCAGGAAUCCUCUUCUUUAUGUGAAUGUCUGUCUAAAUCUAAUCCUAAGUAUAAACCAGAGUCUAACCUAUCACUCAUUAGCAUUAGUGUCCUCUCCCUCUAGCUACCCACACAUUUUGGUUUUGAUUAUGAAUGUGUCAUUUCUGGGGAUUAUUUAUUUUCCCAUUAGAUGUAAUCAUACAUUCUGAACCUUUGCUUAAUUGUCCUGAAAUGUUUGCCAACAAGGAAGAAGAGAAUAGGAUACAUGCCUCCUCUCCCUAAAACACGAAUUACCACCAGGCAUUCACUUUUUCUCUAGCCAGUCCCAUGGUCAGGCCUCUGGAGCAGAGACUGUACACAAACUGCCUGAUUAUGAGGUUCUCGCUCAUCAAAGUGAAAUUUUGCAAAGACAACAUAAGCAGCCUCAAAAUCUGCUGUUCUUGACACACAAACAUGAGCCCUUGGAUCUAGAAGGAACAAGGAGGCUAUAGCAUCUUUAAUAAAGUGGUUGAAGCCAGGGGUUGAAAGAACACAGAGCAUCCCUUUCUUCAGCUGGCAUUCACAACUGUGUCCCUGUCAGCAACUCAGACUCCAGACAGUCAAAACAGAACCCUUGAGUUCGCUUCAUUCCCUCCAAAGCUUGCUGCUCUGCUAGGCAGAGAUCAACAUUUUGGGGAAUUUUUUAAAGUGCUAUUUCUGAAGGCAGAGAGGAGAACAGAGACAUAACUGCACUGCCCCACUGAUUAGUUGGGCUUGCUUUCUUUUGUAAGUCUCUCAGAAACAUGGUGGCCCUCUCUGCAUGGGUUUUUAAAGUGCUUCUGUCUGAAUGCCCUUGGAACACUGAACAACAAAACAAAACAACAACAACAACAAAACAAAGUCUAGGCGGCACGUAGCCAGAUUUGAAUUUAAAAAGUUGCUAAUUUGGGACUCACUUCUCUCCAAUAGAAUUAUACGUGUGUAAGAAUUAUACACACACGGCUGAGGCUUUUCUCUGCUUAAAAAACAUCUGCAGUCAAUUAGAAAUAAGCCUGAGUGUCGUGUUAAUUCUGCAGAACCAAACAAAGUCAUUUUUGUUUAAACUCUUUCAGUGCUGUGAGAAUGAGAGGUUACAGGAGGAGGAAAAAAAAAAAAAAAGCAAUAGAACAAAACUGCCCUGUGGCCCUGGAAGGGAGUUGAGGAGGCAAAUAAGAAUUACUUUUCUUUGAGAAUAUGAACCUGGAAAUUUUUUCCAGGAGGAUUCUAUUCUUUCCUAUUUCUCUCUUGGGGUAUGGGGAGUGGGGAGCAAGCCUACCCUUUCUUCUAAAAAGGCAACUUUUAAAAAAGCAAUGAAACAUUCUCCAGAUUCCCUCAAAAUAAAUUUGACCAGUUGAUGUGUUUGGCAAAUGAGUGGUAGCACUUCAUUUUUAAUUUUGUGGAAAGCCAAACAAAUCAAACUAUAUUUGUAGACCAUUGUGUGCAUUUCAAAUCACUGUCAUAGUUGCUAAAUGUGAUUGGUGUUCUGACUUCAGAUAUACUAAAAGCAACCAUUUCCACUGAAAUACUUAUCUUGCCGUGAAUAUCGGUGUUCAUGUCCACCUUUUGUUAACAGCAGUAGCAUUGAUUCCACUGGCACUGGAAUUUAUCUCUCUCAGAGAAGUCUGUGGAUAACCAGAGAUACCAUUUCCACACAACCACACUAGAGCUACAUGUUUUUAGGGUUGAUGGUCUCUAAAUAUAAAAGAGAAUUUCAACUCUUCCUUUGGGCUGAUGCAUUAUUUCUUCUCCAUAUCUCCCCUCCCCUUCCUUCCUUCCUCUUUCUUUUUCAUUUAAAAGUUUCAUUGAAGUGGGAGCUCCUGUCAUGGCGCGGAGGAAACGAAUCUGACUAGGAACCAUGAGGUUGGGGGUUCAAUCCCUAGUCUCUCUCAGUGGAUUAAGGAUUUGGUGUUGCUGUGAGCUGUGGUGUAGGUCACAGAUGUGGCUCAGAUCUGGUGUUGCUGUGGCUGUGGUGUAGGCCAGCGGCUACAGCUCCCAUUAGACUCCUAGCCUGGGAACCUCCAUAUGCCAUGAGUGCAGCCCUAAAAAAAAAAAAAAAGAAAAA
rnacentral:lncRNA from 1 species